rnacentral:rRNA from 1 species
UAGGGAAUCUUCGGCAAUGGACGAAAGUCUGACAGAGCAACGCCGCGUGAGUGAAGAAGGUUUUCGGAUCGUAAAACUCUGUUGUUAGAGAAGAACAAGGACGUUAGUAACUGAACGUCCCCUGACGGUAUCUAACCAGAAAGCCACGGCUAACUACGUGCCAGCAGCCGCGGUAAUACGUAGGUGGCAAGCGUUGUCCGGAUUUAUUGGGCGUAAAGCGAGCGCAGGCGGUUUCUUAAGUCUGAUGUGAAAGCCCCCGGCUCAACCGGGGAGGGUCAUUGGAAACUGGGGGACUUGAGUGCAGAAGAGGAGAGUGGAAUUCCAUGUGUAGCGGUGAAAUGCGUAGAUAUAUGGAGGAACACCAGUGGCGAAGGCGGCUCUCUGGUCUGUAACUGACGCUGAGGCUCGAAAGCGUGGGGAGCAAACAGG